CAAGAAUUAAAUUCUUCAUGGUCAUAACAUGAAAGCACACAUAACAUUUUAGCAGACUGCUCAGUGGAAAACCCAGCAGAAAAUGUCAGCACCACCAAGUUACCUCUGCACAUGUCAGUCUCUGCUAGCCAAGAGUGCCAUGCAUUAUCACUGAAAGAGGCUGUGUAUGAGGAUUUAUGUGACUAGAGGUUGUACAUAAGCAUCAGUAAUCAUGAAGGAAGCUGCUCACUGACUUGAGCAAGGACAGCAGAAUCAGACUUAUUCCCCUAGCUUCACUUUGCAGGUAAGCUGUGAAAAUGAACUUGGACACUAGAAGAGUACCAUUAAAAAUGCCCAUGAGGGUUUAAACUUGCAGCUGGUGUUGGGAAAAAAAAAGCUGGUUUUGAAUAACUUCUCAGCAAGUGAGGCCUGCUUCUUCUGUGCUUUGAAAAAGGGAAGGGACAAGCCAUAGAAAUUAAAACCAAUGGAACAUACAGGUAACAUGUGAGUAACCCAAGUAACGUACGAGAAGGCAAUAAGUUUACACAGGCUGCUUUCAUUCUGGCAUUUCUACCUUUGACAUUGUAUAAUACUUUUUGCUG
rnacentral:lncRNA from 1 species